GUUGCUUUGGCAGAGUGGUUAAGGCGUAUGCCUGCUACGUACAUGGGAUUUUCCUGCGAGAGUUUGAAUCUCGCAGGUGACG
rfam:Gossypium raimondii Chr09_contig_1771, whole genome shotgun sequence.